rnacentral:rRNA from 1 species
AUACGGAGGGUGCGAGCGUUAAUCGGAAUUACUGCGCGUAAAGCGUACGUAGGCGGUUGGUUAAGUUAGAUGUGAAAGCCCCGGGCUUAACCUGGGAACUGCAUUUAAAACUGACGAACUAGAGUUGAGUAGAGGGGAGUGGAAUUUCAGGUGUAGCGGUGAAAUGCGUAGAGAUCUGAAGGAACACCAGUGGCGAAGGCGACUCCCUGGACUCGAACUGACGCUGAGGUACGAAAGCGUGGGUAGCAAACGGGAGUAGAAACCCUAGUAGUCC